ACGCUCGACACCUACGGGCAGCAGUGGGGAAUAUUGCACAAUGGGGGAAACCCUGAUGCAGCGACGCCGCGUGAGCGAAGAAGUAUUUCGGUAUGUAAAGCUCUAUCAGCAGGGAAGAAACUGACGGUACCUGACUAAGAAGCACCGGCUAAAUACGUGCCAGANCGCGGUAAGUACUGAGCGGGCGUGGCGAAGGACG
rnacentral:rRNA from 1 species